UACUUGAAAGCGAAGUAUUGCACUAAGUUUCGGCCUUAGCCUUGAGAAUAAAAUCUCUCAAGUAU
rnacentral:tRNA from 1 species